rnacentral:rRNA from 1 species
AGGGUGCGAGCGUUGUCCGGAAUUACUGGGCGUAAAGAGCUCGUAGGUGGUUUGUCGCGUUGUUCGUGAAAUCUCACGGCUUAACUGUGAGCGUGCGGGCGAUACGGGCAGACUUGAGUACUGCAGGGGAGACUGGAAUUCCUGGUGUAGCGGUGGAAUGCGCAGAUAUCAGGAGGAACACCGGUGGCGAAGGCGGGUCUCUGGGCAGUAACUGACGCUGAGGAGCGAAAGCGUGGGGAGCGAACAGGAUUAGAUACCCUGGUAGUCCACGCCGUAAACGGUGGGUACUAGGUGUGGGUUUCCUUCCUUGGGAUCCGUGCCGUAGCUAACGCAUUAAGUACCCCGCCUGGGGAGUACGGCCGCAAGGCUAAAACUCAAAGAAAUUGACGGGGGCCCGCACAAGCGGCGGAGCAUGUGGAUUAAUUCGAUGCAACGCGAAGAACCUUACCUGGGUUUGACAUGCACAGGACGCCGGCAGAGAUGUCGGUUCCCUUGUGGCCUGUGUGCAGGUGGUGCAUGGCUGUCGUCAGCUCGUGUCGUGAGAUGUUGGGUUAAGUCCCGCAACGAGCGCAACCCUUGUCUCAUGUUGCCAGCGGGUAAUGCCGGGGACUCGUGAGAGACUGCCGGGGUCAACUCGGAGGAAGGUGGGGAUGACGUCAAGUCAUCAUGCCCCUUAUGUCCAGGGCUUCACACAUGCUACAAUGGCCCGUACAAAGGGCUGCGAUGCCGCGAGGUUAAGCGAAUCCUUUUAAAGCCGGUCUCAGUUCGGAUCGGGGUCUGCAACUCGACCCCGUGAAGUCGGAGUCGCUAGUAAUCGCAGAUCAGCAACG